rnacentral:rRNA from 1 species
UGGCUCAGGAUGAACGCUAGCGGCAGGCCUAACACAUGCAAGUCGAGGGGUAGAAAGAGCUUGCUUUUUUGAGACCGGCGCACGGGUGAGUAACGCGUAUGCAACCUACCUUAUACAGGGGAAUAGCCCGAAGAAAUUCGGAUUAAUGCUCCAUGGUUUAUCGAUAUGGCAUCGUAUUGAUAAUAAAGAUUUAUCGGUAUAAGAUGGGCAUGCGUAUCAUUAGCUAGUUGGUGUGGUAACGGCAUACCAAGGCAACGAUGAUUAGGGGUCCUGAGAGGGAGAUCCCCCACACUGGUACUGAGACACGGACCAGACUCCUACGGGAGGCAGCAGUGAGGAAUAUUGGUCAAUGGAGGCAACUCUGAACCAGCCAUGCCGCGUGCAGGAUGACGGUCCUAUGGAUUGUAAACUGCUUUUGUACAGGAAGAAACCUCCCUACGAGUAGGGACUUGACGGUACUGUAAGAAUAAGGAUCGGCUAACUCCGUGCCAGCAGCCGCGGUAAUACGGAGGAUCCGAGCGUUAUCCGGAAUUAUUGGGUUUAAAGGGUUCGUAGGCGGCUUUGUAAGUCAGUGGUGAAAUUUCCUAGCUUAACUAGGACACUGCCAUUGAUACUGCAGAGCUUGAAUAAUAUGGAAGUAACUAGAAUAUGUAGUGUAGCGGUGAAAUGCUUAGAUAUUACAUGGAAUACCAAUUGCGAAGGCAGGUUACUACGUAUUUAUGACGC